GAUGAACGCUGGCGGCGUGCCUAACACAUGCAAGUCGAGCGAAAACACAGUGAGAUUGUUCCUUUACCGUUGGCGGCGGGCGGAUGGGUAACGCGUACGUCGCCAUCUUCUUUGUCUUGGAUGACAUCGGGAGACCGGUGCCAAUAACAGAUCAUAUUUCGAACGGGAUAGAUCGAUAGUGCAUCAGGGCUUUCCUAUCUCUUAUAGAUGGUCUCGCGCCGUAUUAGCUAGUUGGUAAGGUAACGGCUUACCAAGGCGACGAUACGUAGCCGACCUGAGAGGGUGAUCGGCCACACUGGAACUGAGACACGGUCCAGACUCCUACGGGAGGCAGCAGUAGGGAAUCUUGCGCAAUGGGCGAAAGCCUGACGCAGCAACGCCGCGUGAGUGAUGAAGGUCUUCGGAUCGUAAAGCUCUUUUAUUAGGGAAGAACAGACGUGUAAGUAACUGUGCACGUCUUGACGGUACCUAAUGAGAAAGCCACGGCUAACUUCGUG
rnacentral:rRNA from 1 species